GCUAGAAACUAAGCCCAUAAUGAUUGAGAUAGCUUUCUCACAGACAUCAAAAUCUGAACUAGAAAGGAAUGGAAUCACAUCUGUUAUGAGGUCUUCUAAGAUUGAUUUAUCACGGGCCGCCAAUUGAGAAAUACGAUCCAGCAUAAUUAACUUGGCGUUAUUGUCGGCUUCGCGAUCUGCUAGUGCUAAUAGACGAGACGCAGCGAGCUUCAGAGACUCCGCAUCGGGAAAUACAUUAAUAACUGAAGUAGCUGCCUC